CGUCGUAAAAGACUUAUUUUUUUGAGACGGCUUUCUAUCCCCAUCGCAAAAAGAUUUCUUUUGCCAUGGCCUUUGUUGUCGUGGCUAAUGGACCCAAAAAAAAACGCUUCUUAUUCUCUCUCUAUCACGCUUGUGUUUCUGUGUCACACCCUCCUUCUCCUUCGCCCCCUUCUCUCUCUCUCUCUCUCUCUCCACUGCCGUUGGUACAUGAGCACAUGACGACCACCGCCAUUGAUAUCACCAUUGCAAACUAGCAACCAUUCUCUGAAAUCGAGGAGACGCAAUAGAAGGAGUUUGACAUUGAGAUCGCUGGCCAAAGUUAGAGGCUAGAAUCGACAGAGGCGGCAAUUGAGAUGCGUAGUAGGGGCGGAAUGUAAACUCAAAAACAAAAACAAAAACUCUAUUCGAUUCAUCUAAAAUUCUCAUUUUCUCCGAAAUGGGGUUGUGGGAUUCCCUCCUCAAUUGGCUCUGCAGGUAUACCCCCUCCAUGUCUAGUACACAGCUUUUUCCAGAAAUGCAGCGGAACCAAUAUUUGGAAAAUGAUCGUGUUUGUUUGGAUGGACAUCGAGAUUCAUUCCACUGCUCAAAUUUUUGGGACGUGGAUUGGCUUUCUUCAUCGGGAAAUUCAUGUGAAGAAGAAACUUAUGAACGGUGAUUUUUAAGAUUCUGUUUAAGUAAUGAUUCAUGUAAUGUUGUUUUGAAAUAAGCUUAAAGUUCAAUAUUUUAAUUGCUGUCAUCAUCAGCACCACUUCAUUUAUUUAGUGUCUGUCACUGCCAAGGGCCACCUCUUUUUUUUCCUCUACUAUCAUCGCCAUCAUCACCACACCUAUACCCUUUGUCAGCCAUCAACAACUUUGUGAACAAACAUUCUUUCACCCUUCAUCUUUAAUAAGAGAAAAAUACUACUUUCACAUAGUAAUUUACUGUAACAACAGGAACCAAACCAAACCAAACCAAACCAAAUUAAGCCUUGUGUCCCAAUCAAGUUGGGUUGCUACAUGAAUCAUUUUUAUCAUGCUGCUCUGUCAAGGGUUAUAGACUCAGUUAAAUUAAAUAAAUUCAUGCCCUUUCGUUGACAUCUUCAUUUGUUCAUAAAAGUUGUCAUCAAAUAUGUGUGUAUAUUGAUGCAGAUGCACAAAUAUGACCACUAUCAUUCAUAUCUGUAGAUAUUAUACUUCCCUUGUCAUGUUCUUAAAUUCAUACAAAUCCACACGACCUUCCUUGCCAUGUUCUGUGGUUUGAACCGUGGAUUUAAUAGCUGCAGAUCUAUGCUCAUAAGCUCUCCUAUUACCGGUACAUCAUCAGGUAACGUUGUUACUGGACUUAAAAUGGAGUCAAGUGCUUCUGCUAGUACAUCUGGGUCCAGCAUGAAGGUCAGUAAUAUAUUGAAUCUUUCUAGUGGCACUGUCAUGACAUGGUAUACUUGUCAAUCAGAAAAUAUGCCAUGCAUACAUAUUUGACAACUAUGGUUCACAGGUAUAGGCAAAGUAGAAUAGAAUAGCAUUAACUUGCCCUAUUAUUUUUUCCUCGUGUUUGUGCUUGUGAAUCUUAGAUUUGGAUCUUGUCAGUUACAACUGUUUACUUUUAUUGCCAUAUCUUACUUCCUUGUCUUGCUUUCUUUGUUGACUAACUGACCUUAGAUGCAUUGUUCCUUUUGGAUUUAAAUUUUCUUGGCUUUUUUUUUGUAUUUGUUUUUGGUCAGCAUUUUCAUGGCGUUGAUACACUUUGCACAUUAUGAUGAUCCCAUUUCUAAUGUAUUUUUAAUUAUUUUUUUUAGUCAACCAAACAUGGGAAUUGACAUUUUGAUGGAAUGACUUUUUAUUGCACUUCAUUCCAGUGAUCAGUGAACCAAACACUACCUCAAUUCUUCAACAUUUCCAUGUGAAAAUCUAAAGUGAGGAGGAGCAUUGGAUCUUCAAUCAGGCUGUAGAGGUUUUCUCAGAUGGGAGUGAGCAAGCUGGAGUAUGAUCUGGUUUUGUGUUGUUUUUUCCUUGCUACGUUGGUUCCUCACCAACUCUUGAUGGUGUGCUAGUGUGCUUAUCGGUGCCAACCUCGUUCCUCGGCUCAAUUUAUCCAUCAAUUCAAUCUCAAACCCUUCAAAUCCCAAACUCAACAGGGUAAGGGAAACUACCCAUUUCCUCAUUCUCUCUCUUCAUCAUUCUUCUUUUAGUAGGUUUGAUAAAUUAGUACUUCUCUGGCAAAUCCAUUUCUAUGACUUUGUAAUGUUACUAGAAAUUAUGUUUGUAUAUGCGAUUCUGAAAUAAUAUGUAAAUGGUCUGAAUUAGUGUGUAAUAGAAACCCUAAUACUUUAAUUGGAACAAAACUUAAAAUGUAAUUCAAAAUAGAUUAUACAAACCCAAUUUGGGAAUUCAAUAUUAUAGUGUUUCUUACCUCUAUGUAAUUUAAUUGUUAUUAAUAGACAUUGGAUUGUAAAAAUAUUUUCAAUAAUGGGUUCGUAUUUAAAUAUAAUGAUUUUAUUGUGUAAUAUGGCACUAGUUUGUUUAACCAUUCUUAAUAAUUAAUAUUCACACAUUGUGAUAUUGAUCUUAUAAGUUUUUCUGGCAUUAUCAUAACAAAAUAUUGAGAACCGAUUGACACACUAAAAUACAUAAACGGUGUCGGAUGUCAACGAAACUUGACACACACAAUUAGCUAGGCAUAAAUGACAUAUAGGAAAAGACGGGACUCAAAACUAACUCUCGGUUUUGAAUCUAGAGCCUAAUUCCCAUUUGUGAAAAUUGUCCUUUAAAAACUCUUUUUCAGAAACGGUUGACAUAAUAAAAUGGUCAAACGGUGUUGGAUGUCAGUAAAACUUGACAAACAUGACUAAAUAGACACAAAUGACUUGUAGGAAAAGACAGGACUCAAAACCGAUUCCCGAUUUUGAAUCUAGAGCCUAUUUUCCGUUUGUGAAAACUUGCUUUUUAGAAACUCUUUUUCCGAACCAGUUGACUCGCUAAAAUGCUCAAACGGCGUCGGAUGUCAAUGAAACUUGACACACACGACUAACUAGACACAAAUGAUUUGUAAGAAAAGACAGGACUUGAAACCGAUUCCUUAUUUUGAAUCUGGAGCCUAAGUUCCGUUUGUGAAUACUUAUCCUUUAGAAACUCUUUUUCGAACACACACUAAAAUGGUCAAACAACAUCGGAUGUCAACGAAACUUGACACACUUGACUAAUUAGGCACAAAUGAGUUGUAGAAAAAGACGGGACUCGAAACCGAUUCCCGUUUUCUGAUUUUGAAUCUAGAGCCUAAUUCUCGUUUGUGAAAACUUGUCCUUU